CCUACGGGUGGCAGCAGUGGGGGAUAUUGCACAAUGGGGGGAACCCUGAUGCAGCGACGCCGCGUGGGUGAAGAAGCGCCUCGGCGCGUAAAGCCCUGUCAGCAGGGAAGAAAAUGACGGUACCUGAAGAAGAAGCCCCGGCUAACUACGUGCCAGCAGCCGCGGUAAUACGUAGGGGGCAAGCGUUGUUCGGAAUGACUGGGCGUAAAGGGUGUGUAGGCGGUGUAGCAAGUUAGAAGUGAAAUACCUAGAGCUUAACUCAGGUGCUGCUUCUAAAACUGCUAUACUUGAGUGCAGUAGAGGAAAGUGGAAUUCCUAGUGUAGCGGUGGAAUGCGUAGAUAUUAGGAGGAACAUCAGUGGCGAAGGCGACUUUCUGGACUGUAACUGACGCUGAGGCACGAAAGUGUGGGGAGCAAACAGGAUUAGAUACCCGUGUAGUC
rnacentral:rRNA from 1 species